GUCCCCAUCGUCUAACGGUUAGGACAACAGCCUUUCGAGCUGACAAUGGGGGUUCGAUUCCCCCUGGGGACACUA
rnacentral:tRNA from 1 species